rnacentral:rRNA from 1 species
AUGAACGCUAGCUACAGGCUUAACACAUGCAAGUCGAGGGGCAGCAUGGUCUUAGCUUGCUAAGGCCGAUGGCGGCCGGCGCACGGGUGAGUAACACGUAUCCAACCUGCCGUCUACUCUUGGACAGCCUUCUGAAAGGAAGAUUAAUACAAGAUGGCAUCAUGAGUCCGCAUGUUCACAUGAUUAAAGGUAUUCCGGUAGACGAUGGGGAUGCGUUCCAUUAGAUAGUAGGCGGGGUAACGGCCCACCUAGUCUUCGAUGGAUAGGGGUUCUGAGAGGAAGGUCCCCCACAUUGGAACUGAGACACGGUCCAAACUCCUACGGGAGGCAGCAGUGAGGAAUAUUGGUCAAUGGGCGAGAGCCUGAACCAGCCAAGUAGCGUGAAGGAUGACUGCCCUAUGGGUUGUAAACUUCUUUUAUAAAGGAAUAAAGUCGGGUAUGGAUACCCGUUUGCAUGUACUUUAUGAAUAAGGAUCGGCUAACUCCGUGCCAGCAGCCGCGGUAAUACGGAGGAUCCGAGCGUUAUCCGGAUUUAUUGGGUUUAAAGGGAGCGUAGAUGGAUGUUUAAGUCAGUUGUGAAAGUUUGCGGCUCAACCGUAAAAUUGCAGUUGAUACUGGAUAUCUUGAGUGCAGUUGAGGCAGGCGGAAUUCGUGGUGUAGCGGUGAAAUGCUUAGAUAUCACGAAGAACUCCGAUUGCGAAGGCAGCCUGCUAAGCUGCAACUGACAUUGAGGCUCGAAAGUGUGGGUAUCAAACAGGAUUAGAUACCCUGGUAGUCCACACGGUAAACGAUGAAUACUCGCUGUUUGCGAUAUACUGCAAGCGGCCAAGCGAAAGCGUUAAGUAUUCCACCUGGGGAGUACGCCGGCAACGGUGAAACUCAAAGGAAUUGACGGGGGCCCGCACAAGCGGAGGAACAUGUGGUUUAAUUCGAUGAUACGCGAGGAACCUUACCCGGGCUUAAAUUGCAGAUGAAUUACGGUGAAAGCCGUAAGCCGCAAGGCAUCUGUGAAGGUGCUGCAUGGUUGUCGUCAGCUCGUGCCGUGAGGUGUCGGCUUAAGUGCCAUAACGAGCGCAACCCUUGUUGUCAGUUACUAACAGGUUCCGCUGAGGACUCUGACAAGACUGCCAUCGUAAGAUGUGAGGAAGGUGGGGAUGACGUCAAAUCAGCACGGCCCUUACGUCCGGGGCUACACACGUGUUACAAUGGGGGGUACAGAGGGCCGCUACCACGCGAGUGGAUGCCAAUCCCCAAAACCUCUCUCAGUUCGGACUGGAGUCUGCAACCCGACUCCACGAAGCUGGAUUCGCUAGUAAUCGCGCAUCAGCCACGGCGCGGUGAAUACGUUCCCGGGCCUUGUACACACCGCCCGUCAAGCCAUGGGAGCCGGGGGUACCUGAAGUGCGUAACCGCGAGGAGCGCCCUAGGGUAAAACUGGUGACUGGGGCU